AGUGAACGCUGGCGGUAGGCCUAACACAUGCAAGUCGAACGGCAGCACAGUAAGAGCUUGCUCUUACGGGUGGCGAGUGGCGGACGGGUGAGGAAUACAUCGGAAUCUACUUUUUCGUGGGGGAUAACGUAGGGAAACUUACGCUAAUACCGCAUCUGACCUACGGGUAAAAGCAGGGGAUCUUCGCACCUGUCGCGAUUGAACGAGCCGAUGUCGGAUUAGCUAGUUGGCGGGGUAAAGGCCCACCACGUCGACGAUCCGAAGCUGCUCUGAGAGGCUGAUAAGCUACCCGGGAACUGAGACACGGUCCAGACUCCUGCGGGAGGCAGCAGUGGGGAAUAUUGGACGAGGGGCGCAAGCCUGAUCCAGCCAUACCGCGGGAGUGAAGAAGGCCUUCGGGUUGUAAAGCCCUGUUGUUGGGAGAGAAAAGCAGCAGGUUAAUACCCCGCUGUUCUGACGGUACCGAAAGAAUAAGCACCGGCUAACUUCGUG
rnacentral:rRNA from 1 species